GAUGAACGCUGGCGGCGUGCCUAAUACAUGCAAGUCGAGCGAACAGACGAGGAGCUUGCUCCUCUGACGUUAGCGGCGGACGGGUGAGUAACACGUGGAUAACCUACCUAUAAGACUGGGAUAACUUCGGGAAACCGGAGCUAAUACCGGAUAAUAUAUUGAACCGCAUGGUUCAAUAGUGAAAGACGGUUUUGCUGUCACUUAUAGAUGGAUCCGCGCCGCAUUAGCUAGUUGGUAAGGUAACGGCUUACCAAGGCAACGAUAGGGAACCGACCGGAGAGGGUGAUCGGCCACACUGGAACUGAGACACGGUCCAGACUCCUACGGGAGGCAGCAGUAGGGAAUCUUCCGCAAUGGGCGAAAGCUUGACGGAGCAACGCCGCGUGAGUGAUGAAGGUCUUCGGAUCGUAAAACUCUGUUAUUAGGGAAGAACAAAUGUGUAAGUAACUAUGCACGUCUUGACGGUACCUAAUCAGAAAGCCACGGCUAACUACGUG
rnacentral:rRNA from 1 species